rnacentral:tRNA from 1 species
GCAGGAGUGGCGGAAUUGGUAGACGCGCUGCUUGUAUUAGACAUGUACGGUUCCAGUAUCUUUGAUGUGAGAGUUCAAGUCUCUCCUCCCGUACCA